UGUGCAGCUCCUUGGAUUUUUCUUGCCAUCUCAGUCCUGUCGUAACUCUCUGGGGACAAAGGCGAUGUGUCUUGUCUCAUAACCCUAGAGCAGACUGAGCCCCAAGGAGAUCCAGGUCCUUUUGGAGCCUGUGAAGGAACUGGUCCUGCAGAAUGAUACCUUCAAGAUCUCCAAGACACGGGAGACUGCAGAGAGCUCCAGUUGGGUGUUUUGGUGACUCUGAAGGCUAGAUGGUGCCAGCUGCAAUUGUACUCCCAACUGAGAAGCAACCUGAGAAUCUGACUCACAGAAGAUCAUGAGGUAGAUUCAGGACACCUUUCUGAAGAUGACUGAGAAUCCAAGGCUAUAACGGUAAAGUAUAAACAGGCCUCUGCAAGACUCAGGAGAUGCCCUGAAAAAGCACCGGAAUCAAUGGCAGGUCGCCAUGUUUGCUCUCAGCCAAAAGCCCUGUGUCACUGUAGAUGUCCCAGCCAUGUUCUCCUGCUGGUGAGGGUGAACUCACUCUGAACACUUGCUGGGGUCACUGGCUGAAAAGGGGAAGAAACUCCUGAACAGUGUACUGAUGCCAUUUAAAUAGCGAUAUCAAAUCUGUGUUUCUUUAGCUUAGCCUAUUCAAUCCCGUUCCCUAUUUUAUUUUAUUUUAUUUUAUUUUAUUUUAUUCUUC